rnacentral:piRNA from 1 species
AGAACCCUAAACCACAAGAUGGC